UACGUAGGGGGCAAGCGUUGUCCGGAUUUAUUGGGCGUAAAGAGCGUGUAGGCGGCCUGGUAGGUCAGCUGUGAAAACUCGAGGCUCAACCUCGAGACGCCGGUUGAAACCAUCAGGCUAGAGUCCGGAAGAGGAGAGUGGAAUUCCCGGUGUAGCGGUGAAAUGCGCAGAUAUCGGGAGGAACACCAGUGGCGAAGGCGGCUCACUGGCCCGGUACUGACGCUGAGGUGCGAAAGCGUGGGGAGCAAACAGG
rnacentral:rRNA from 1 species